CUGCUCACAGAGGCCACCCCUGCAGCUGUCCUGCUACCAAAACCUUGCCACACAAACCCAGUACAAAAACCAAAGCUGCCUCCAUGCUGCCUGCCUCAGCCAGCAUGAAACAGCCAUCCAAGGAACACAGCUGAAGGACAGAGGUUCUCUUCUUCUGAUAACAUUUUAUCCAUAUGGUAAAAGUGUUCUCCAGAGGGUAUAGAGCACAAAGUCUGCCCUACUGAACUGAACUGGAUAAGACACCUCCGCUCUGAUCUUCAGACUAGUCUCCUUGUUGCCUUCUUCCCUGUUGUGCUUGGCAGGCUGCAGCAGAACGCCGGCUGGGAGCCAGAUCCUUAUCCUUCACCCUCACCGAGGAUGUGCACCCAGUGAAGAACCAAGGUUUGCAUCAUGUGCCAGACAAAAGAUAUCUCAGAAGAAAGAACUGCAAAAACAUACACAUCCUAAAAAUCCUCCUCCAAACCCUGCCCAUCCACCUGCCAAAUCCAUGUAGGCUCCACUGAUGCUCCAAAUAUUCUAGAAAAAUCAGCAGAGCAGUCUCCAAAUGAGAUAAGAAGGAACAGACUGUACUUCCAGAUGAAGUCUCAGGGAGAAAAAGGAAUAAUUUUAUUGCUUGAAAGUAUUUAUAGUCAUUAAAAAAGCAGUAGGAUGCUGAAGAAAUCUGACUGAGUUUCUACUGCAAGAAGAGAAAUCAGCCAAAAGCGAUUCAGAAGUCCUUCCUCACCUCAUUAGGGCAUCAGUUUCCCGAUGCACAAACUCUGUAGCUAGACCCUCUGAAUCAGUUGUCACAACCAAUUUAUGCCCACAGUUUCAUUUUUAAUCUGAGGUCUCAGCAGCCAAGCAGUGCAACCUGACCCUAGCUCGCACAGAGUGGCUGUUAAGGAAUAAGUGCUGGUUUUGGUAAUUUGACAAGAAUCGCUAGAGAGGGGGCAGAGCGGAUGCGGGAAAAGCUCCUUUGGGUUUGCAGAAGGAGACAAGGAGUGUGGUGACCAGGAAGCAGGGCCACUGUCUACUGUUAUCUGGUAAUGCUGUUUAUGCUGCCUGAUUAGUUGUGAAAUUUUGGGCAGUGACUUUUUGAAACUGUACUAAAUUUUGGUAUCUAAAACAUAGACUUGAGCUUUGAUGAUUGGUGGAGGAAACAUCUAGGAAAAUUAGAUCAGAUUAAAAGUGCACAUUUUAAAUGUCCAAGACACAGACAAAUCCUGCUUUUUGUAACUGUCACCUGUAGAGG
rnacentral:lncRNA from 1 species